AUUGAACGCUGGCGGAAUGCUUUACACAUGCAAGUCGAACGGCAGCACGGACUUCGGUCUGGUGGCGAGUGGCGAACGGGUGAGUAAUGUAUCGGAACGUGCCCAGUCGUGGGGGAUAACGUAGUGAAAAUUACGCUAAUACCGCAUGCGAUCUAUGGAUGAACGCGGGGGAUCGCAAGACCUCGCGCGAUUGGAGCGGCCGAUAUCAGAUAAGGUAGUUGGUGGGGUAAAGGCCCACCAAGCCAACGAUCUGUAGCCGGUCUGAGAGGACGACCAGCCAAACUGGAACUGAGACACGGUCCAGACUCCUACGGGAGGCAGCAGUGGGGAAUUUUGGACAAUGGGCGAAAGCCUGAUCCAGCCAUUCCGCGUGCAGGAUGAAGGCCCUCGGGUUGUAAACUGCUUUUGUACAGAACGAAAAGGUUUCUACUAAUACUAGGAGCUCAUGACGGUACUGUAAGAAUAAGCACCGGCUAACUACGUGCCAGCAGCCGCCGCCG
rnacentral:rRNA from 1 species